rnacentral:misc_RNA from 1 species
AGAGUUAAACAGUACGUGAAAUUGUUGAAAGGGAAACGAUUGAAGCCAGUCGUACCGACGGGAAAUCAACUUUUUGGGUUCUAAUCGCGGGUGACGUUGAGCCUCACGGUCCUCGUUGCUUGUGUUGUUGGUUCCCUUGGAGUGCACUUUCUCGUAUGGUAGGUCAACAUCGAUUUUAGUCGUCAUAAAAUGAUCGGAGGAAUGUGGCUUCGAUUUCGGUCGGAGUGUUAUAGCCUUUGGUAGAUGUGACGAUUGGGAUCGAGGAUUGCAACGAAUACCUUUGUGCUAUCCGUCUGGCCUCUGGAAGUCGCUUGGGUGCCGAAAGCGUGCUUAUGGCUAUUCAAGUUGGCGGUCAAUAGGUUAGAACGCGAUUACAUUCGUUAAGGAUGUUGACGUAAUGGUUUUAAACGA